rnacentral:lncRNA from 1 species
UGAUUUCAAAUGAUUUCAAAUCAUUUGAGCAGUAAUCUGCUUUUUGUUAAUCAAGGAUGUGUCUGUGGAACUGAGUGACAGUAUUAGCAAGUGAUCCAUCGUGUGGUAACACAGAACACGAGAGUUCUCACCGUAUGAUUCCAUGCGUAGCUUUGUCACAUAGAAUACAGAGUUCUCACUGUGUAGUUCCAAGCAGAUUUACAAAAACGAAAACAAAACUUGGCCGUUUUAUUUAACCUGGGAGGUCUUAUGCCAGCAAGCCUAUGAGAAAACUUUUGUGUGUAAGGAAAACUAAUUUACCCAAGGUAAUACAGUUAAUAGAGAGGAGUUUGGACUCAAAGCCAGAUCUCUGCAACUUCAAAAUUCAUCGAAACACUGUUGAAAGUGAGACCUGAUUGCAUGACUGGUUACAGUCGUUUAGAGCUGUCUGUCAAAAUAUUGAAGGAGAUUUUGGAGUCAGACAGAUCUGAAUUGUCCCACCAGCAGGGCCAAGCUUAACAUGAGGCAAACAAGAUGCCAAGAAGGCAACAUUUAAGAAGGCACGCCGAGUCAUGCAAGCAUUCAUAACCCUGAGACAGUUGCAGGAAGUACAUAACCAAGUGGAAACUAAAUUCCCAGAUUUCUGACUACAGAACCAAAAAUGGGAAACACAGGGAAAGCAUAGAAAGGGAACUUGAAAGUUACCUCAUAAAGUGGUUUAUAAACUCCUUGGCUUGCUCUGGAGAUGUGUCAGCAUGGAUCUGAUCCUAAACAUCAUCUAAAAUCUCUGAGAAUUGAGCUUUGAGAAAGACCACCAGAUUCCACCAAGCAGCACACAUAUGAGAAAAAUUCAAAUAGCACCACGAAGACUUUGAAAAUGGAACUGACUUCCAAACCAUAACCCAAAAAGGGUUUGUCUGAAUUGUGGCUGAAACAAAUUGGGUUGAUUCCUUGCUAAGAGAAAAAUAUCAAAAUUCUCCAUAAGAUUUAAACCAAAUCCAGAC